CAGGCACAGCUUCUUGGGGAG
rnacentral:misc_RNA from 1 species